CAGGCGUGGGCUCGCAGUACGACUCCUGCCUUUUACCUGCAGCACCAUUGCCACCAUGGCCAUCCCAAGGGGAAGUCAGCCAGCAUUUCCACGUGACAUCUUCUUCUUCUUCUUCUUCUUCUUCUUGCAGCUAAAAAAUAAAUCAGUUCUAAUAAAAACAUUUAUACUAUAUUCUUUAUUGUCAGCUAAUCCUGCCUGAACUCAUUAAAUGGCAGUGUGUGGGUUAUUUGCUGUCAGUGAAAUUAUCAAAGGCAUUUUUCAGCUGGGGCACCGGGAAAACAUAUGCUUCAAUGCCAACUAAAACAAUAAUGAGGAAAUGUUAUGAUCAGUCUUGACCAGAUGACCCUGCCCAUUUUAGAUUAGUUCUUAAUUUCAGCACAAGGGUCAUCCUGUGAAUUCUUACAAUAAGUCACUGCUCACCACUCACAUGAAAAAGAUGUGACUUAUUAGAAAACUCACUGUACUCAUUGCAGUUAAUGAGAUGUGGAAAGCUUUGUAAUUUGAUUUGCUGGGCCAUAUGCUGUAAAGGGAUACUGCUGAUUUCAUUCCUCCGUAUUUAAUUUAAGCAGUAUGCAAUACCUUCUUCAUAUGGCUACUUAUAUAAUAAAAAUUAACUUGGGGUAUAAAAAAUACACCAUUGUGGGGUUUAUUACUUGGUGUGGUUCAGUUUCAAGUGUUUUUCAUGGAAACAUCUGUAAGUAAUGUGUGUGGGUCUAAUUUUAAAUCCCGCCAAAUAUUUUCCAUUUAACAUUUGGUUUAACUGACAAGCCCGCAGAGGUGGUUUUCAGAGUUGUUGGUAACAGAUACGUACAGUAUUCCCAAGGCUAUAGCCUUCUUUUUUUUUUUUUUUUAAUGGCAGACAGAUAACAGUAAUCCAAAACUCGGUUUUUGAACUUUUUAGCAUUUCAGUGGAUACAAACGGCAGUUGAGAAUGUAGGCACUUCUAACCCUUAAAGACCAAGCUGCGGUUUAAUCUAGUAUCCCCUAAAAUUACCUUGUUUAUGACUUUUGUUUCAACAUCUGCGGCCAAGGAUUCGGGUGGCAGAUUCUCUGGAAGGCUGACUGUGGGAAAGAGACCCUUCAGGACAGGGGCUUGCCUCCCCUCUGAAGAGAGGGGGAGGGAGGAGGACUAACAGUCUGAGACAUGGGCCGAUGCCCAGGGAGGUCCGAUCCUCCAGAGAGGUUCUAGAACCCCAUUCUAUUUUUCUACGGUUGAAAAAAAUACAUAUUUUUUUCAAAUAUACAAAUAUACAAAUAUAAAUAUAUGUGUAUAUAUCCUUGCUCAAUUCUUAGGGGGCACACAGGCCCCCUGGACUAUCCAAGGGUCUGGUCAGCAGCUGGUCAGUAAUACAACCACUAGACGAGGAGGUGAGGUUGCCGGAUAAAAUAGAGAACCCCGAGUUGAAUCUGAACUUCAGAUAAACAACAAAUAUUUUUUUAGUAUAACGACGAGCCGCAGCCUGCCACACUUUUGCUUGCUCAGUCGGGCACCCCUACCACCGGCCUGGUGACUGCGUGUCGUUCCAGGCCAGGAAGCCUUAUCCGGGUUGUGUGAUGACGGCGGCCGGGCAGGAGCCACAAGCGCCCCCACCCCUCCGGGCUGGGGGUGGGCGCCGCGCUCCGCUUGGAAACGCGCCCGAUCGCACCGGGGCGUCGCGGCACCGCCAGCUCAGCACCGGGCCGGGCACGAGGCGGGGACCCCCAGAAACAUACCGAAACCGUCUCCAUGGCUGCCUCUGAAAUAAAGCGGUGUGUGUGGGAAGAGAAACUCGAGGGGGAAGUUCAGCAACCAACGCAGAGACUGAUUUUUUUGUUGAAGCCUCACGUUUCUGUUCCUUUUGGUGAUGGUGGUAACGGAGGUGCACGAUGGAUACAAUUUUUGUAACACAGCAGUUGCCUCCAAACCCAUUAACCAGCCACGAACGGCGAGUCAGGGAACGGAGUGUAGCAUCUCCGGUCCAUUUUAUUUUCUGGACUUCUGUCGGUGGUGCAAACUGAACUGCAGGCUUGUAACCAAACUUUGCAAAGGGUCUCCUUCGGCUCCUCAUCCGCAGAGAUGCCAGGCUGCCGUGGCCACUGGCCACACCUUUCCUCGGGGCGUGCCAGCCAAGGCAAGUGGCGGUUGGAUGGCGUGCGUGGUCCUGUGUCCGCGUCCAACUCUUUAUAUGUUGUUGACUAGGGGUAACCGCAGCAGUGUUGUGGCCGUGGCCCCGCCGACGCGCAGGAGAAGAGAAGUCUUCGAAUUGCUAGCAAGUGGCCCUGAGGCCCAUACAUGGCUACGUGUCAGCUGAGCUGAGACAAACGAGGUGACAGAAACACAAGGGAAGGAAGCACGGUUAUGCAGCUGCCCACUCCCCUCUGCCCAGACUGGUCCUCGGCGAGCCGCCACCCUGGACUGAUGAGAAUAUGCCAGUGAUAAACCACAACUGUGGGAAACACUGGGUGGGGGCAUAAAUAUCAUCUGUAAACAAUUAGGCAGCCACUGCUCAUUCAGUGCCGUUUUGAGAAGCUAAGGAAGUCUGCAAUCAGUUAUAUCUCCAAUUACCAUAAAAAUAUAUUAGCCAUUCAUUCAUUUAUUAAUGAUUCAUCAGUUAACCACACAUAAUGAGCAAAUAAUUAGCAGUGCUGUACGGUUGCCAAAAUUGAAGAAGUGUUGGCAUUUUAAAGAUGAAAGGUUGCAUUUAUGCAAAAGUCUGGCGAUGAUAAAGUUAAUAUGGAAGAUAAUUAUAAAAGUGGCUGUCCUAUAUUACAGACUGAGGUACCACAAAACUUGCCUAAUUGAACCGAAAUGAAUAUUCUUCCAAAGUCUGCGUGUUGCCACACACAAACUGCUGAAUUUCUCCCGAAGAUCUCCCUUCAGUAAGGUGCACUGCACAAUACAAGUUAAUAAAAUGCCAGACAGCUAGACUGUGUUCUUUGUUUGCUUGGUUCAGGGCCUCGUGGAAAACAAUAAAUUGCAUUCAUGUCAGCUGAGGCCCAUCCCUUUGCUAAUUACCGUUUGGUGCUGAAAUGACUUCUGUGAAAUUGGGAGCAUGAGGAAACAUACAGCCAUACAAGGGAGGCUUUUCAGAGUUUUGCAGUAAAUGUGAGAUAGGCCUCAGGCACACAGAUGUUAAAACAGUGAAUUCCCCCACAGAUUACACUAAUGGAAACCCUGUCAGGGUGCAGUGCUGGGCCCUAGGACUUCAGAGAGGAAACGUCAGGGUUCCUGCUCUUGGGAGACUCUCAUUUCUGCUUGGGAAGCAGGCGCUCAAACUUCACGAAGCCAGAUUUCUGCAUCAUUACAAUGCCUGGCAUGCAGGAGGCCAAUAAAUGUUUGUUGAAUGAAUGGAUCUGUUAAAA